AGCAGAGCAGGAGGAGCCCAGCCCCAAGCUGGGCCUAUUGCUGGCCAAGGGAUCCUCUGCCUGGCAUCACGAGUGAGCACCGGGUGUGUGGUGGAGGGUUUCAAAGGCCGGGGGGCCUGGCUGGCCCCCCCGCUAGCGAGGGCCACCUUAGGGCUGGUCUACUGACCCACUGCAACAUCCACCUUAGCUCACGGGUGCUAAGUCUGUGUUGCUACUGAGGCUGAGGUUUCUCUAGGAGGUUGGAUCCUUGAAGGUUUUGUUCUGGGUUCUGCGAUGGAGGCAAAGAUGGAGCAGGAGCACCAACUGGAGCUGGUAACAGACCAGCAGCAGCAGCUGGUAAUGGAACGGAAAGCAGGAGUUGGCCACCUGCCACCCAUCCCCUCCUGACCCCAACCCCAGAAACCCAAAGCAGCACUUAGCACAGGAGGUCUCUCGUGUUGCAGUCUCAACUUCAAGCCCUGGAAUACUUUGCUUCAGCCAGCAGCAUGGGGUUGGAUACCAACAGCAGAGUCGACUUAACCUGUGACUAAGUGAACUUUAAGUGUUCUGACUCCACAGUAGAACUUGAUAAAGAAAGAUGUGAAUGGAA